rnacentral:rRNA from 1 species
CGAAAGCCUGACGGAGCAAUACCGCGUGAGGGAGGAAGGCUUUUGGGUUGAAAACCUCUUUUUUCGAGGAACAACCAAAUGACGGCACUUGAAGAAUCAGCAUCGGCUAACUCCGCGCCACCAGCCGCGGUAAUACGGAGGAUGCACGCGUUAUCCGGAAUCAUUGGGCGUAGAGCGUCCGCAGGUGACGUAUCAAGUCUGCUGUCAAAGACUUAAGCUCAACUUCUGGCAAGCAGUGUAGACUGGUAAGCUAAGUACGGUAGGGGUUGAGGGAAUUCCCAGUGUAGCGUGUGAAAUGCGUAGAUAUUGGGAAGAACACCAGUGGCGAAGGCGCUCAGCUGGGCCGUAACUGACACUGAGGGACGAAGGCUAGGGGAGCG